GAUCGACAGAGUGCCAGGUGUGGCUGAUUACACAGCAAAAAGUUUUUCUACAAUGGCUUGGCCCACAUCCUGCUCUUUGUUUGUUUUAGGUAUUCUCAGUCAGUUUUCUUUGAUUUUUGUACAAAAUAAACCACAAGACCUUUUUUGCAAACCCAACAAACUUCUGGACAUUAUCGUUUUUGGACUCAAGCAUUGUUAGAAUCUAGUCUGCAGUCAGUCACCAGUGAUGUUAAUUGGAACAAGGAAAAUCUGAGAAACGUCACUACACCAUGAUUUGGAAAUGCCAAUUGUAGUCUUAUCAGACCAUAACCCUCUCACCUUUCUGAACUCUCUGCAGAACCCUAAUCAGAGGUGCAAAUGUUGCUAGGGAUGGAGUUGCUGAGACCGAAGGGAAGGUGGGGCAUGUUGUUAAAAGGGAGCUGGUGGGCGGAGCCACACAAAUUGGUGAGAUGCGGCGCACCUGAGCUGGCUUCGCUUGGGAUCCUUUAAAGCAGUCCUGCCCAAUUGGCUCACUCUCCCUGGCGUUCAGAUUGACAUUUUGUAUUUGUUGUCUUUAGUUGUAUCACAUUUCAUUUUUCCUUUAUUAAAGGGGACAUAUUAUGAAAAUAA
ensembl:lncRNA